UAUCUCUGUAGAGUCUGCAUAUCAAUAAGCGGAGGAAAAGAAACUAACUAGGAUUCCCUUAGUAACGGCGAGUGAAGCGGGAAGAGCUCAAAUUUGAAAUCUUCAAGGUUUUACCUUGACGAAUUGUAGUUUAAAGAAGUGUUUUCUGUUGGUGUUUUGGUAAAAGUUCUUUGGAAUAGGACAUCAUAGAGGGUGAGAAUCCCGUAUUUGACCAUUACUUCCAGCGUUGUGAUACACUUUCAAAGAGUCGGAUUGUUUGGGAAUGCAGUCCAAAAUGGGUGGUAAAUUUCAUCUAAAGCUAAAUAUUGGCGAGAGACCGAUAGCGAACAAGUACCGUGAGGGAAAGAUGAAAAGAACUUUGAAAAGAGAGUUAAACAGUACGUGAAAUUGUCAAAAGGGAAGCGUUUGACACCAGUGUUGUUUUCUCGAAAAUCAAUUAAAAAAAGUUGGAUUUUGUAUUGUUAAGACCUUAUCAGCUUACUGUACUCUUUUCUUGCUUUUUUUAAUGCACUUUUCGUUUAACAAGUCAACAUCAAUUUCUUUUGUUGUAAAAGAGUCAUUGGAAGGUGGCUUUCACUUCGGUGAAAGUGUUUAUAGCCUUUGGCUUCUGCAAUCGGAGAGAUUGAGGUCUGCAGCGUAGAUCCUUCGGGGCUAGAUACGUAGAUGCUAAGUUAUAGUUUUUUAUAGACAACUUGUUGACUAUAAUUAAUCAUGUAGCUUACUCGUUUGCGCUAUAUUACCUACGCUUAGGAUGUUGAAGAUGUAGCACAUCAU
rnacentral:rRNA from 1 species